rnacentral:rRNA from 2 species
CAGCAGCCGCGGUAAUACGUAGGGGGCAAGCGUUGUCCGGAAUCAUUGGGCGUAAAGAGCGCGUAGGCGGCCCUGUAAGUCCGCUGUGAAAGUCAAGGGCUCAACCCUUGAAUGCCGGUGGAUACUGCAGGGCUAGAGUCCGGAAGAGGCGAGUGGAAUUCCUGGUGUAGCGGUGAAAUGCGCAGAUAUCAGGAGGAACACCGAUGGCGAAGGCAGCUCGCUGGGACGGUACUGACGCUGAGGCGCGAAAGCGUGGGGAGCAAACAGGAUUAGAUACCCUGGUAGUCCACGCCGUAAACGAUGGGCACUAGGUGUGGGAGGUGUCGACUCCUCCCGUGCCGAAGCUAACGCAUUAAGUGCCCCGCCUGGGGAGUACGGCCGCAAGGCUAAAACUCAAAGGAAUUGACGG